rnacentral:rRNA from 1 species
CCUACGGGGGGCUGCAGCAACGAAUAUUCCGCAAUGGGCGCAAGCCUGACGGAGCGACGCCGCGUGGAGGAUGAAGUCCUUCGGGAUGUAAACUCCAAUAGUUUGCCAGGAAGCAACCUGGCCUAAUACGUCGGGAAGUUGACCAGCAGACGAAAGGGGCGGCUAACUCCGUGCCAGCAGCCGCGGUAAGACGGAGGCCCCGAGCGUUGUUCGGAAUCAUUGGGCUUAAAGCGCGUGUAGGCGGGCCGGUAAGUGCUUUGUGAAAUCCCCGGGCUCAACCCGGGAAUUGCUUGGCAUACU